rnacentral:rRNA from 1 species
GAUGACUAGCUGUCGGGGCUCUUGGAGUUUCGGUGGCGCAGCUAACGCGUUAAGUCAUCCGCCUGGGGAGUACGGCCGCAAGGUUAAAACUCAAAGAAAUUGACGGGGGCCUGCACAAGCGGUGGAGCAUGUGGUUUAAUUCGAAGCAACGCGCAGAACCUUACCAGCGUUUGACAUGGUAGGACGGUUUCUGGAGACAGAUUCCUUCCCUUACGGGACCUACACACAGGUGCUGCAUGGCUGUCGUCAG